rnacentral:rRNA from 1 species
CGCUGGGGUGGGGUGCCCACGGCCGAGAUGCGGCGGGUGUCCGGGUUUCGGCUCGGUUCGUCUCGCUCGUACUCUGGCUCGGGGGCUACAUCCCUGCUUCGGCGGUCUGCACUCUGCCCUUAGUAGGACGUCGCGACCCGUUGGGGUGCCGUUCUAUGGCCCGCGGUGGAGCCCGUGCCUUUAUUGUGUGCGGACCCGUGGUGUCCUGAACGGAACCCGACGGUAUUUAAUCUAACGAGAGACCGCACCUAGUGAUGCGCCCCUCGAGUGUCAACUCGAGUCAGGGGGCAGGUCUCUCUUAGUCAGCGGCGCUUCUGCUUCUGCUACUCGUCCGACCCGUCUUGAAACACGGACCAAGGAGUCUAACAUGUACGCGAGUCAUUGGGCUUGCAAAACCUAAAGGCGAAAUGAAAGCAAAGGCCGCUCUGAGUGGCCGAGGGGUGAUGGCCGGUCCACGUGACCGUCCCGCAACCCCGGGGCACCACGAUCUCUCUGAGAUGUGGUGCACCUAGAGCGUACACGUUGGGACCCGAAAGAUGGUGAACUAUGCCUGGCCAGGACGAAGUCAGGGGAAACUCUGAUGGAAGUCCGUACUGCUUCUGACGUGCAAAUCGAU